UGGGGGAUAUUGCACAAUGGGCGAAAGCCUGAUGCAGCGACGCCGCGUGGGGGAUGAAGGCCUUCGGGUUGUAAACUUCUUUUGCUCUGAACAAGGCGCACCAUGGGGUGUGUUGAGUGUAGGGGUUGAUUAGCGCCGGCUAACUACGUGCCAGCAGCCGCGGUAAUACGUAGGGCGCGAGCGUUGUCCGGAAUUAUUGGGCGUAAAGGGCUUGUAGGUGGCUGGUUGCGUCUGUCGUGAAAGCUCAUGGCUUAACUGUGGGUUUGCGGUGGGUACGGGCUGGCUUGAGUGCAGUAGGGGAGGCUGGAAUUCCUGGUGUAGCGGUGAAUGCGCAGAUAUCAGGAGGAAUACCGGUGGCGAAGGCGGGUCUCUGGGCUGUUACUGACACUGAGGAGCGAAAGCAUGGGGAGCGAACAGG
rnacentral:rRNA from 1 species